GUCCGUUUGGCUUAAAGGUAAAGCACCCGAUAUAUGUUCUCGCGUUGUAACUCGAUUAAUAUCUGUCUGGGUGAUGUGAGUUCGAUUCUCGCAACGGGCA